AUUGAACGCUGGCGGCAGGCUUAACACAUGCAAGUCGAGCGGUAACAGAGAGAAGCUUGCUUCUCUGCUGACGAGCGGCGGACGGGUGAGUAAUGCCUAGGAAUCUGCCUAGUAGUGGGGGAUAACUUGCCGAAAGGUAAGCUAAUACCGCAUACGUCCUACGGGAGAAAGGAGGGGACCUUCGGGCCUUUCGCUAUUAGAUGAGCCUAGGUCGGAUUAGUUAGUUGGUGAGGUAAUGGCUCACCAAGACCGCGAUCCGUAACUGGUCUGGGAGGAUGAUCAGGCACGCUGGAACUGAGACACGGUCCAGACUCCUACGGGAGGCAGCAGUGGGGAAUAUUGGACAAUGGGGGGAACCCUGAUCCAGCCAUGCCGCGUGUGUGAAGAAGGUCUUAGGAUUGUAAAGCACUUUAAGUUGGGAGGAAGAGCAGUUAACUAAUAUUUGACUGUUUUGACGUUACCGACAGAAUAAGCACCGGCUAACUUCGUGCCAGCCGCCGCCGUAA
rnacentral:rRNA from 1 species